ensembl:lncRNA
CUACUGAAGGUGUGAUCUGUCCCAUGAAACCGCUGCACAUCCUUAUGCCGAUGUCCUCGGAGAACCCUUGGACUCAGAGCACUCAUUUUCUGUCUUCAGUUUAGACUGAAUUUGUCAGAAUGCUGUUGGAGCGUACUGAGUGGUAACAAAACUCCAGGAAAGAAGGCAGUUCGGAAAUCAAAGUGUAAAUGGACAGCAGAAAACUGCCCCUAUCUGAGCAACAACUCAGGUUCGCAACGGAACUUGGGAAUAAGGAGAUGUGUGGGAGGUGCAGUGAUGGGAGGAGCUGUGGCUCCUGGCAGGAGUGUUACCAUACAGGCAGGGAUGGGGGCUGACUUCCAUGCUGGUGUCAGUGAGGAUGGCCGGGCUGUGUCCUGCUGCUGAGCCGCUGUGCUGAGGGCGAGGAGGAGAGGAGCUCCGAGACAAAGGAACGUCUGAGAAAAUGAAAUUCUCGGUGUCGCCGAUGAAAGCACUCCGCCUUGCUUUAAGGCUGGGAUGGAAAUGGGGACACACGGGGAGAACGGCCGCUGUGCUGGUACGGUGAUGUCCCAUUGGCAUCGGCACUGCUCCCUGCGCACGGUGCUGGGGUGGGAGUCCCCUAUAGGGCACACUGUGAGGGAACCCUGACCCCGGGGGCAGCUCCUGUCCGGCCCCACAGAGGUGGAUGAGCUGGGAUCCGCGUCCUGGGAGG